GAACGAAUGCCAGCUGGUGGAUCCCUAUGCGCGACGGAACUGUGGUUGGCCGGGCAUUACUGCAGCUGAGUGUCAGGAGCGAGGAUGCUGCUGGGAUAAUUCAAUACGAGGAGUAAAAUGGUGCUUUAACAGCACAGGUUAUGAAGAAACAACCACCAUUCCUGACACCAGUGUGACAACAGAGCACGGGUUACCGUUAUCGCGAAGCCCCCCAAACGGACCCUAGAAACUCGUGUACACCCGAGCUGCCCUUCUACUGUGGCUUUUUGUAAAGGAGGUCGUAUUAUGCCUAAAAAAUUGCUUUAACUAUUAGUUCAUUAACUUGUUCAUCUAUUUAGACAAUCAUCCACUGGUAAAGUAAAAA